GACGAACGCUGGCGGCGUGCUUAACACAUGCAAGUCGAGCGGUAAGGCCCUUCGGGGUACACGAGCGGCGAACGGGUGAGUAACACGUGAGUAAUCUGCCCAUCACUUCGGGAUAACUCCGGGAAACCGGUGCUAAUACCGAAUAUGACCACUUCAGGCAUCUGAUGGUGGUGGAAAGUUCCGGCGGUGAUGGAUGAGCUCGCGGCCUAUCAGCUUGUUGGUGGGGUAAUGGCCUACCAAGGCUUCGACGGGUAGCCGGCCUGAGAGGGUGACCGGCCACACUGGGACUGAGACACGGCCCAGACUCCUACGGGAGGCAGCAGUGGGGAAUAUUGGACAAUGGGCGAAAGCCUGAUCCAGCAACGCCGCGUGAGGGAUGACGGCCUUCGGGUUGUAAACCUCUUUCAGCAGGGACGAAGCGCAAGUGACGGUACCUGCAGAAGAAGCACCGGCCAACUACGUG
rnacentral:rRNA from 1 species